rnacentral:rRNA from 1 species
UGGGGAAUAUUGCACAAUGGGGGAAACCCUGAUGCAGCGACGCCGCGUGAGCGAAGAAGGUUUUCGAAUCGUAAAGCUCUGUCCUAUGAGAAGAUAAUGACGGUAUCAUAGGAGGAAGCUCCGGCUAAAUACGUGCCAGCAGCCGCGGUAAUACGUAUGGGGCGAUCGUUGUCCGGAAUUAUUGGGCGUAAAGGGUACGUAGGCGGUCUAUUAAGGCAGGUGUGAAAGCGUGAGGCUUAACCUCAUUAAGCACUUGAAACUGAUAGACUUGAGUGAAGGAGAGGAAAGUGGAAUUCCUAGUGUAGCGGUGAAAUGCGUAGAUAUUAGGAGGAAUACCGGUGGCGAAGGCGACUUACUGGACUAUUACUGACGCUCAGGUACGAAAGCGUGGGGAGCAAACAGG